AUGAGCUGUUGAGUGAAUUUAUUAUCAUUAUCAUUAUUCUUUAUUAAAUUCGAAUGGCGGGGCCCGGUGGGUGUUAUGACUGGACUGCGGUCCUUGUCGGAGCCAUAGCUGCCAAGUUUUCCCUUUUCUCGCGAGGAAGCCUAUUCAGCAUAAGGGAAAAUCCCUUUAAAAAGGGAUAACUUGGCAGCUAUGGUCGGAGCUACCGGUAUAUCCCCGUUGUGGCUCGAGGGGGGGGGGAGUUACAGUGGUUUUACUCCCGUGUAAAGUGCUGCGGGGGGCGGGGAGCGGAAGCGCGAACUGCAUGCAUCUUUGUGUCAGUGAGGUUACACGAAGUCAGUCCCGGCUCGUGCCGACUCCGAUUUGCGUUGGGUCGGGAAUAGAUUCCGCACUGGGCUUGCUGUGCCAGCAAUUCACCCUGUUGGUUAUCGUGGGUUAUUUUAUCAGGACUUUUUAAACCUGGAUUGGAGAGGACCAGCCUGUUAGUCUGUAGCAGCCAAAACAAAGGAGCCUGGAGGCACAGCUAGAAGACUAAUGAAUUUAUUGUAAUGACAUGCGUCUUUGUAAAUUUUAAGAUGCUGCAGGACUGUUUUUACAUGCUGUAUUAAAAUAUGUACACAUUCACAUUGACAGUUACUGCUUUACUGAGCUGUGAUUCCACCCCGCCCCACAGGCUGGGAUGGUUCAAAGUUUCACGUAAUAUUAGAUUCUCCUUUACUAUUUUUAAUUAAGCACAUAUACUUUGUCUUCAUCAGCAGAUGGGCUUGGCUUAAGCUUUAUCAUUUUAACUUGUUAGCUUGCUUUCACAAAUUUUUGUAAAACCCUUAUUUAUUCAGAAGUACCAUUGGUUUUACGGGACUUCAUAUCUGGAAAAUAACACAGGAUUGCAGCCAAACUACUAAACAACCUUUUUAUUUGAAAGCUGCAGCUACCAAGAAAAAGUUAAUUCAAUGGGCCUUCUGAGUAAACAUGCCUAGGUAAAAACAAUUUAUCAAAAACUGUUGAUAUUUUGAAACUUUGAAUUGGUACUUUGACUGUUACUUAGCAUUAACAGCGAAAUGAUUAAGUGAUUUCAAAAGAAGGAAAUUUAAAAAAUUGGCUAAUUGUAAACAAUGAUAAUUUAGUUUCACUAAUUUGCAUAGUGCUUUUCAAAGAAUGAGACUCCGUUUGUAUUAAUAGUACAAAUAUCAGGAGGCUCGUUUUUUAUUUCAGAAAUGGUUAUGCAAAUAUAUGGUAAUAAGUCAUUUUUGGAACUUAAAUCGUUAAAACACUGAUUGCAAACUUUCAUUUUAGAUAUCUUUGAACAAUCUUAAAAGGAAUAAGAAAUAAGUUUUUGACAAAUAGAUUAAACAAACAAGUACCACCACACAUUCUGUGCAGUAUAUAUAAGUUGCAUGUGGAACAUGAGGGCACACAGAGAGGAAACGCAAUGUU